UAAGAUCAGUGUGUGGCUCCUCUUGGUAAAGUAGAGAAUGAACACGCACAUGUGUGAGCACACACACACACACACACACACAGUCCAUCAAAGGGGGAGAAGUUACUUCUCAAUGUUGUAAAUUUAAAUGAAGUCCGGAGUAGUGAAGGCCAUUUGUAAGGUCUGCUGAGCUAAUGGAUUCAUAAUGACUUUUCAAGCUUGGCUCGGAGGUGGAGUCUGGGAAGAGCUUCAAGCUUGAAGGUGCAGCAGGUUAGGGGGGGAAGGGGUUGCGUUCCGGGAAGAGGUGAGAAGUCUGAGGAGCUGAAGCUCCCAGGAUCAUACUCGGAUUAUUCUUUCCACUGGGUUUCUCCUCCUGAUCUUCCCAAGACUCUCCUGUGACUCUGUGGCUCGCUCAGAACGAUCCUGGGGAGAAAGAUGCACUUCUGAGGGACACGGGAUGAUAACCUGGCCAGGAAGAUGCAUUGCUUUCAUGGAGAUGAGAUUGGCUGUACCCUUCGUUCCUUGUAGAGUAGAAAUGCUGGACCAAUCACGUGUAAGGGAGCAGCACCAUUCCGGAGGCAUGAGCAGGUUUGGGCCGACGUAACUGUGUCUGAGGCAAGGAAAGAAGGCUCACGAAAACACGGGCAGUUCUCCAUAUUCAGCUCUCCACUGUCACCCCACAAGUCAGAGAGGGUCGGAGGCACCUGCUUCCAGGUGGGCAGCAGAGGGCCUGUUAGCGCCGGAGCCUGGGGGAAGCGGGGAGCCCCUGGGCGGCACCAGCCGAGCCCUCGCCGAACCGUCCUGAAGACCUGGCUUCUCCCUGACCCAGAAUUCCACGAUCCCUUGAAAAGCCAUCAAUGCUGGAUACCCCUUGUUUAA